AGGGAGAACAUUUAUUAAUGAAGAAUAACUCAAAGGAAAGGAAGGGGUCCUGGUCUCUCAUGAAUCCUCAUGGGAGCCUUGAGGAAGGAUGAAGAGAUGAGGAAACUGAGGCCAAAGGAUUCUGUUACUUGCCUGGCUUCACAGCUCACCUGGAGAUUCUGAACUGGCAUCUUCCUCUCUCUGCCAUCACCCCAGACCCUAUCCUCUUUCCUCUACACCAGUGGUUCUCAAUCAAGGGCGAUUUUGCCUUCCAGGGGACAUUUGACAACGUCUGGAGGUGUUUUUGGUUGUCACAAUUCUGUGUAUGUGUGUGGGUGGGCGGGGGGCAGGGGAUAAUGUUGGCAUCUAGUGAGUAGAUAACAGGGAUGCUGCUAAACCUACAAUGCUCAGAUGGCCCCGAACAAAGAAGUAUGUUGUCCAAAAUGUCAAUAGUGCAGAGGGUGAGAAGCCCUGGUCUAUACAGAGCUCAGCAGUCCAGAGCAAUUGCAACCUCUGGGAGUUGCCAAGA
rnacentral:lncRNA from 1 species